GGCAACAGCUCAAAUUUGAAAUCUGGCCCUCGGGUCCGAGUUGUAAUUUGUAGAGGAUGCUUUUGGCGAGGUGCCUUCCGAGUUCCCUGGAACGGGACGCCACAGAGGGUGAGAGCCCCGUAUGGUCGGACACCGAGCCUCUGUAAAGCUCCUUCGACGAGUCGAGUAGUUUGGGAAUGCUGCUCAAAAUGGGAGGUAUAUGUCUUCUAAAGCUAAAUAUUGGCCAGAGACCGAUAGCGCACAAGUAGAGUGAUCGAAAGAUGAAAAGCACUUUGAAAAGAGGGUUAAAAAGUACGUGAAAUUGUUGAAAGGGAAGCGCCUAUGACCAGACUUGGGCCCGGUGAAUCAUCCAGCGUUCUCGCUGGUGCACUUUGCCGGGCACAGGCCAGCAUCAGUUUGGCGCGGGGGAAAAAGGCUUCGGGAAUGUGGCUCCCUCGGGAGUGUUAUAGCCCGCUGCGUAAUACCCUGCGCCGGACUGAGGUACGCGCAUUGCAAGGAUGCUGGCGUAAUGGUCAUCAGCGACCCGUCUUGAAACACGGACCAAGGAGUCGUCUUCGUAUGCGAGUGUUCGGGUGUCAAACCCCUACGCGUAAUGAAAGUGAACGCAGGUGAGAGCUUCGGCGCAUCACCGACCGAUCCUGAUGUUCUCGGAUGGAUUUGAGUAAGAGCAUACGGGGCCGGACCCGAAAGAAGGUGAACUAUGCCUGUAUAGGGUGAAGCCAGAGGAAACUCUGGUGGAGGCUCGCAGCGGUUCUGACGUGCGAAUCGAUCGUCAAAUAUGGGCAUGGGGGCGAAAGACUAAUCG
rnacentral:rRNA from 2 species